rnacentral:rRNA from 1 species
GACGAACGCUGGCGGCGUGCCUAAUACAUGCAAGUAGAACGCUGAAGAGAGGAGCUUGCUCUUCUUGGAUGAGUUGCGAACGGGUGAGUAACGCGUAGGUAACCUGCCUUGUAGCGGGGGAUAACUAUUGGAAACGAUAGCUAAUACCGCAUAACAAUGGAUGACACAUGUCAUUUAUUUGAAAGGGGCAAUUGCUCCACUACAAGAUGGACCUGCGUUGUAUUAGCUAGUAGGUGAGGUAAUGGCUCACCUAGGCGACGAUACAUAGCCGACCUGAGAGGGUGAUCGGCCACACUUGGACUGAGACACGGCCCAGACUCCUACGGGAGGCAGCAGUAGGGAAUCUUCGGCAAUGGGGGCAACCCUGACCGAGCAACGCCGCGUGAGUGAAGAAGGUUUUCGGAUCGUAAAGCUCUGUUGUAAGUCAAGAACGGGUGUGAGAGUGGAAAGUUCACACUGUGACGGUAGCUUACCAGAAAGGGACGGCUAACUACGUG